rnacentral:tRNA from 1 species
GGGGUCGUCGUCUAGCUUGGUCAAGGAUACCAGAGCAUAGUACGCGGUGAACCUGGGGCGCUGGCGGUCGCGGGUUCAAAUUGACGAUGUCAUGAGAGUCCCGCCGACCCCACCA